rnacentral:rRNA from 1 species
GACGAACGCUGGCGGCGUGCUUAACACAUGCAAGUCGAACGGAAAGGCCCUGCUUUUGUGGGGUGCUCGAGUGGCGAACGGGUGAGUAACACGUGAGUAACCUGCCCUUGACUUUGGGAUAACUUCAGGAAACUGGGGCUAAUACCGGAUAGGAGCUCCUGCUGCAUGGUGGGGGGUGGAAAGUUUCGGCGGUUGGGGAUGGACUCGCGGCUUAUCAGCUUGUUGGUGGGGUAGUGGCUUACCCAGGCUUUGACGGGUAGCCGGCCUGAGAGGGUGACCGGCCACAUUGGGACUGAGAUACGGCCCAGACGCCUACGGGAGGCAGCAGUGGGGAAUAUUGCACAAUGGGCGGAAGCCUGAUGCAGCAACGCCGCGUGCGGGAUGACGGCCUUCGGGUUGUAAACCGCUUUCGCCUGUGACGAAGCGUGAGUGACGGUAAUGGGUAAAGAAGCACCGGCUAACUACGUG